GCCAAUCGGGUUUUCCAAUUCCCAAUGGGAAAAAAAUACCAAAUGUUUUAAUUUUUAAACUAUCAAUAACUUAAAGGCACAUGACCUUAGGCAAUAAGUCAGUAAGUCCCAAUAGGACCUGGAAAGCGGGAAUUACCUACCAUUCCAGUUAUCAAAUUGUCCAGUUAACAAACUUAUACAUACACUCGGUCCGUCACUAUUAAAUCAAAUUGAACUUUAAAGCUGUACAUACAAGAUUCUACUUACAAUGCUAUGUGUUAUCUCGACAGUGUAUUAAAUUUGUUGGUAAAUAAAUAUAAAACGUAUCUCUUCUCUGUUCGAAGUUAGUCAAAGUCUCACGUUCAAGAGCAUUUUUCGGCAUUUUGAAGUAAAAAAAAAGUGUUUUUAUCAAAAACAUGAAAUUCUUGAAAGUUCUGUUUCUCGUCGCUGUAAUUGCGAUGGUUUUCUCACCGACAUCGGCCAGACCGGACUUUUGGAAGAAGCUCGGGAAGUCCAUUGAAGGUGUUGGCCAGAGGGUUCGAGACUCCAUUAUCAGUGCUGGGCCUGCUGUGGCGACCAUUGCGCAGGCGCAGAGUGUAUUGAAUGGCGGACAAGGAUGAAUUAAAUAAUUUUAUUUUCAAUUGCUGUUAGUUUUUAUGCUACAUUAAAGAGUCAACAUUUGUACCUCUAACAGUUAAGAUCCUGUCUCUUUCUCUCAUGCUUGUUUCAUUCUCGGCUAUGAUGUCCGAAGCCCGGGGAUGGAUAUGGAUAGAAUAUUAAGAUCUGUAUUAUUUAUGUAAUAUUAUUUGUAUGAAUAAAACUCACACUAAGCAAGUAUACAUAGAAAUAUUUUUGAUUUUCAUCUUAUGCUAUAGUAUUCCCGAAUUGCGGUUACACCUAAUGUAGCUGGCCUCAGUUGGCUAGGUGGCUAGGUCUAGCUGAACUUAUGUUCAGCUAGACCUUUUUUUUUUCGUGUGGAAAGACGCUCGUCCCGUCCAUCCGGCCACGGGAAGCCGGACAGGUGUGUGGGACUUUAACCCACUAAAACCACACGGUGUCAACGCCUACCGCAUUUGUGCCGGGACCAUGUGCUAAUCUCACUCCACAGCACCGGCGCACCUAGGGUAAGCCUUUAUCAUUCCGGCCAGACAUAGGCGCAGCCGGUCUUCGUUGGUUAAAUCACACAGUCAACAACAAUCACAGAUCAUUUAGGUUUAGAUCAUAUACUGUAAAUCCAUUAGACCUGACAUGCACGCGAAAAAAAAAACUAAAUUUGAGUUCAUGCGAUUUGGGGAUUAUUUUCAUUAUCUAUUUAAAUAUUAUAUAAUAUAAAUAUAUUAGGACAAAUCCACACAGAUUGAGCUAGCCCCAAAGUAAGUUCUAGACUUGUGUUAUGGGAUACUAACUCAACGAUACUAAGUAUAUUUUAUAACAUAUAUAUUAUUAUAUAGAUAAACAUCCAAGACACGGGCCAAUCAGAAAAAUAUCAUUUUCCAUCAUGGCCCGACCGGGGAUCGAACCCGGGCCUCUCGGUUCAGAGACAAGCAAGAGACUUUACCACUGCGCCACCGAGGUCGUCGUCACCGACCUAUUUGAAUACUUUUAUAAUUUGUAAGGAUGUUUUCACAACUUAAAUCCAUACUAAUGUUAUAAAUUUGAAAGUCUAUCUGUUCGCUAUCAAGGCUCAGCCGCUGGACCAAUUAUGAUUAAUCGAAUUUAGUAUGCAUGUAGUUAAAGGCCCCCAAUAAAACCGCUUUUUUUUCAAAAAUUAAUCCACAUUUCCAAUCGUAGGGGAUGUUUGUAUGAAUAUGUCUGUAUAUGUCACUUCCGCUUAAGCAGAAAAAUUCACGCGGGCGAAGUCGCGGGCAAAAAGUUGUGUGUAUUAAAUUUUACACACAGACACAGAUACAAGGGUAUCCCUGUGUCCAACAAGAGUGAUUGAACUAUAAUUUGACCUCAAGACCUUAAAAUGUAUAACAUGAUUACUUCAACAAAUUUAUCUUUUCGAGGGUAUAAUAAACUAGCUUUACUACUAAUAUAAUAUUAUAAAUGCGAAAAAUUGUGAGGAUGUAUGUCUGUAUGUUUGUUACUUUUUAUGCAAAAUUAUUAUUAUAAGUAGGUACAUACAUUUUCAUAUAGAUGCACCCGCCUUAUACUUCUGCCAUGCCGCAUUUGUCGCUCAACUAGGACAUCAGGUGAGAUUCGAACGUUUUAAACACUAGACUAUCAUCUAGGUUGGGUGACUAUGCUAAAUAAAUCAGUUUUUCCU